rnacentral:tRNA from 1 species
GUGGCUAUAGCUCAGUUGGUUAGAGUACCAGGUUGUGGCCCUGGGGGUCGUGGGUUCGAGUCCCACUAGCCACCCCA